CCGGUAGUCCAGUGGUUAGCACGUGGGCUUCACAGUGCAGAGGUACCGGGUUCGAUUCCAGCUCCGGCCUCCCUGUGUGGAGUUUGCGUGUUCUCCCCGGGCCUGCGUGGGUUUUCUCCGGGUGCUCCGGUUUCCUCCCACAUUCCAAAAACAUGCGUGGCAGGCUGAUUGAACACUCUAAAUUGUCCCUAGGUGUGAGUGUGAGUGCGAAUGGUUGUUCGUCUCUGUGUGCCCUGCGAUUGGCUGGCAACCGAUUCAGGGUGUCCCCCGCCUACUGCCCGGAGACAGCUGGGAUAGGCUCCAGCACCCCCCGCAACCCUAGUGAGGAUCAAGCGGUUAGGAAAAUGAAUGAAUGAAAAAUAGAGACCAACGACUGAGGCAGCUAACCCGGAUGACGAACGUCAGCUUCCACUCGGACGCAACUUUGCAAAGCAGAGAACUAGCGUCACAUUUCCUGAUAAAUAAAUACUGCGGGUCUCCUGUCGGGCUCGCAAUGUCCGCCCCUUGCGGCCGAGCGCCAUCCGGAGGUUUGCGCCGCGCUUGUCCAAGCCUCGGAAAAGGCUCCUCCAUCACCACAUGUAUUUGUCGCUUUGGGCAGCACUCGGACAGACUCAAGCGCUUGCCAAAAUGCUCAGCUGCGAACAGUCAGCAAAAGGUAAAUCGAUAAAGAUUUACAGGCAGAACGUUUCACCGCAAUCAGCUGCGACGUGGAGCCGAGGCUCGAUCGUACAAACAACGAGACUCAGCUGCUGCAGGCCUUAUGUCGUUUCCGUGGGAUUUGGCCACUCUAGGAAUCAUAAUAUGCAGUAUAGAGGCGGUCGCCCGCUGAGCACCUGCAUCGGGUCAACUCCAAUGGUUCUAUUUGUGUACUACACUGCUGAUAAAACUUUGAUUCCUGCAAAGUGGAGCCUGUGAAGGCUCGGGUCAUCACCCGACCUAGAAAGCGGUAGCCCCCAAAUGUCGAUUCACCAAGGAGCUUGACAUACGGUUGGCAUAUCCAUCAUCACGAGUACAGCCAUGAAAACGUCUCAGGAAGCCGUGCCCAAAAAGCCGCCACUGAUAUUUCAGAGUCGGAUCUCCCGUCACAGACUGAGUGACUCUGGCAUGCCAAAAUGUGAGUAAGACAGAAGUGACAUGCCAAAAGCUCCAUAAUAUCGCUUGCCCGAGAAUGUUUGGAAAAGCAGCCCCCCAAGGCCAAUUUCAUUCAGGAGUGGAAAAUUUGUUCGACGUGCCAACCAGACCAUCCCCCCCCCCCCCCAAAAAAAAGUUUUAAAUUAUAGAUAUUUUUUUAAAUUGCAAAAGCCAUGCUGGAAAAAGACAGUCUGUUCCGGCUCCGGCCUUCCCGUAUGGGAAUGUUUCUCAUGCGUUUUCUCCGGGUACUCCGGUUUCCUCCCGCAUUCCAAAAACAUGCGUGGCAGGCUGAUUGAACACUCUAAAUUGUCCUUAGGGCGGCCCGGUAGUCCAGUGGUUAGCACGUCGGCUUCACAGUGCAGAGGUACCGGGUUCGAUUCCCGGUGGGGAGUUUGUAUGUUCUCCCCGGGCCUGCGUGGGUUUUCUCCGGGUGCUCCGGUUUCCUCCCGCAUUCCAAAAACAUGCGUGGCAGGUUCGUGGAGCACUCAAAAUUGUCCCUCGGUGUGAUUGUGAGCGCGAAAGUCUAUGUGUGCCCUGCGAUUGGCUGGCAACCAGUUCAGGAUGUCCCCCGCCUGCUGCCCAAAGACAGCCGGGAUAGGCUGCGGGCACACCCGCGACCAUCCUGAGGAUAAGCGGAUUAGAAAAUGGAUGGAUAUAUAUUUUACACACACACAUAAACACGCAUAUAUUAUUCAUCAAAUUUAUACGUAUGCGGUUAAUUAUAUCUGACAUGAGUGUGAUGAUACUUGUUGCUGGCUCAAGGAUCAUUUGGGUGUGAUGGAAUCGUUUUUUAAUUUUUUUUUUUUUUUUGCACCGCAGAAUCCAGCGAAUUGAUUAAACGCUUGAUUAAACGCAAGGAGGGGGAGCGCAGCGGCCUCAUUCAAAACACAUGCAAAUAAUCUUGUUUCCGACAUUAUUGCCAGUCGUGCUCUCUUUCACACGCAGGACAUGCUAAUGCAUAUUCUCAGGAACACAUGCGUGCAGGAGCCGUAUGAACUCCAACCAUUCCAUUACACCCACACUCGAGCCCGUUCAAAUCAGACGAGCCCGUGUUCAAAGGCCAUGGUUGAGGCAAAGCCUGAAACAUUCAUCCGAGCGCAUUCUUACUCGGGAUGCAAACGGUUUUUUGUCGAGGGUGUAUAGGAUUCGGCGAAUUCCCAGCUUCAUUAUUAUCCUCAUCAGGAGGAGAUAUUCAUAAAGCGUUGUUCCGCAGUUCAAAGUUUCAAAUCUCCACUUGUGUUUCCGCCACAGAAAGGGAGAGAGCACGAUCGAAUGUCAAAAGCCAUGUGCGCACUGAAAAUGAAAAAUAUGCAACCUUCAUGGCCUCAUGUGGAUGACAUGCGGAAUCUUUAUUCGGGGUGUGCAUUUCAGGCCAGGAUUGGGUCAUGUCUUCUGUGUCUCCUCCCAAUGAGCAUCAGAGAAUUGGGAGUCAUUGUCAUGUUGCGAGGUGGUGGUGAUGGACCCCAAAAAAGCAGGCACGAGAGAGCAGCAGGUUCUACUUGAAGAAUUGUAUUAAUCCAAAACAAAGUCCGAAGAACAAAACGAAUCCAAAGUAACAAACAAAACCCAUGGCAGAAAGUAAAAACAUGACCGAAUGAACAUGACUGAACAAACAAAAAUGACAGCAGCAAAGAAGCAGCAACAAACAAACAUGACAUGACUUGACGCUGAGUGUUCGGGCUGGGAGUCCUUUUAAAGCACGAAUUUCAUAAUGACCAACAGGUGUGCAGCUGCAGGGAGAGCCUCCAGUGCCAACUGUUCCCAACCCAACCCUCACCUAUGGCCACGAGCUAUGGGUCGUGACCGAAAGAACGACAUCCCGGAUACAAGCGGCCGAAAUGAGUUUUCUCCGCAGGGUGUCCGGGCUCUCCCUUAGAGAUAAGGUGAGAAGCUCGGUCAUCCGGGAGGGGCUCAGAGUCGAGCCGCUUCUCCUCCACAUCGAGAGGAGCCAGAUGAGGUGGCUUGGGCAUCUGAUUCGGAUGCCUC